AACCGGGUAGCUCAGUUGGUAGAGCGUCUGAUCACUAUCCUACAGUAUUCUUAUCAUGUGACCAGAAGGUCGCAGGUUCAAUCCCUGUCUCGGUUA
rnacentral:tRNA from 1 species